UACGUAGGGUGCAAGCGUUGUCCGGAAUUAUUGGGCGUAAAGAGCUCGUAGGCGGUUUGUCGCGUCUGCUGUGAAAACCCGAGGCUCAACCUCGGGCCUGCAGUGGGUACGGGCAGACUAGAGUGCGGUAGGGGAGAUUGGAAUUCCUGGUGUAGCGGUGAAAUGCGCAGAUAUCAGGAGGAACACCGAUGGCGAAGGCAGGUCUCUGGGCCACUACUGACGCUGAGAAGCGAAAGCAUGGGGAGCAAACAGG
rnacentral:rRNA from 1 species